rnacentral:rRNA from 1 species
AUGGAGAUCGUGAGGAUGGGGAGCUCGGCGGGGGGCGGGAGCGGCGUGCGGCGGACGGCGUCGUCGUGGCGGGGGACGUCCGGGAGGAGCGACGCCUUCGGGCGGUCGGCCAGGGAGGAGGACGACGAGGAGGCGCUGCGCUGGGCGGCCAUCGAGAAGCUCCCCACGUACGACCGCAUGCGCAAGGGCAUCCUGCUCCCGGGCGCCGUCGCCGGCGUCGGCGGCGCCGGGCAGGAGGUGGACAUCCAGGGGCUCGGCCUCAACGAGAGGAAGAACCUCAUCGAGCGCCUCAUACGCACCGCCGAGGAGGACAACGAGCGCUUCCUCCUCAAGCUCCGCGACCGGAUGGAGCGGGUUGGGAUCGAGAACCCGACGAUCGAGGUGCGGUUCCAGAACCUCAACAUCGACGCCGAGGCCUACGUCGGCAACCGGGGAAUCCCGACGUUCAUCAACUUCUUCUCCAACAAAAUCAUGAAUGUGCUGAGUGCUCUGCGCAUCGUGUCAAGCGGGAAGAGGCCCAUCUCUAUCAUCCAUGACAUCAGCGGAAUCGUAAGACCCGGCAGAAUGUCCUUGUUGCUUGGCCCCCCUGGGUCCGGAAAAACUAGUCUACUCCUGGCCCUGGCAGGGAAGCUGGACUCAACUCUCAAGGUGUCAGGGAGAGUGACUUACAACGGGCAUGACAUGCAUGAAUUUGUCCCCCAGAGGACAUCAGCGUACAUCGGGCAGCAUGACCUUCACAUCGGCGAAAUGACGGUGAGGGAGACACUGGCCUUCUCUGCGAGAUGUCAAGGAGUCGGAACCCGUUACGACAUGCUUACUGAACUCUCAAGAAGGGAGAAAGAAGCCAACAUCAAGCCAGAUCCUGACAUUGAUGUCUACAUGAAGGCCAUCUCUGUGGAAGGUCAAGAGAGCGUGAUCACAGAUUACAUCCUCAAAAUUUUGGGUCUGGAAAUCUGUGCAGAUACAAUGGUUGGGGACGGUAUGAUCAGAGGCAUCUCAGGAGGACAAAAGAAGCGUGUCACCACAGGCGAGAUGCUUGUCGGGCCAGCAAAGGCACUGUUUAUGGAUGAAAUCUCCACCGGUUUGGACAGCUCCACAACGUACCAGAUCAUCAACUCCCUCAGGCAAUCUGUCCACAUCCUCGGUGGCACGGCAUUGAUCGCGUUGCUUCAGCCUGCGCCUGAAACAUACGAGCUCUUUGAUGACAUUGUUCUGCUCACCGAGGGGAAAAUCGUGUACCAGGGUCCUCGAGAAAGCGUCCUUGAGUUCUUUGAGGCCGUCGGAUUCAGAUGCCCUGAGAGGAAGGGUGUUGCAGACUUCUUGCAAGAAGUAACAUCUAGGAAGGAUCAGCACCAGUACUGGUGCCGAAGUGACGAGCCAUACCGAUACAUCUCGGUCAACGACUUCACGGAGGCAUUCAAAGCAUUCCAUGUUGGCCGUAAGAUGGGCUCGGAGCUCAGGGUGCCGUUCGAUCGAACCAGGAACCACCCUGCUGCGCUCACGACUUCCAAGUUCGGUAUCAGCAAGAUGGAGCUUCUGAAGGCAUGCGUCUCUAGGGAGUGGCUGCUGAUGAAGAGGAACUCGUUUGUUUACAUCUUUAAAAUAGUUCAGCUCAUAAUCCUUGGGACCAUCGCAAUGACUGUCUUCCUGCGUACGGAGAUGCACCGGGACUCAGUCGAGGAUGGAGUGAUCUACAUGGGCGCGAUGUUCCUCGGCCUGGUCACGCAUUUGUUCAAUGGAUUCGCCGAGCUCGCCAUGAGCAUUGCAAAGCUGCCUAUAUUCUACAAGCAGAGGGACCUGCUCUUCUAUCCAUCAUGGGCGUAUGGAUUGCCUACAUGGCUGCUCAAGAUCCCGAUAUCAUUCCUGGAAUGUGCCGUGUGGAUCUGCAUGACUUACUAUGUCAUUGGCUUCGAUCCAAACAUCGAAAGGUUCUUCCGCCAUUACCUGCUGCUUGUGCUGAUCAGCCAGAUGGCAUCGGGUCUCUUCCGGGUUCUUGCUGCAUUAGGAAGGGAUAUGGUUGUUGCAGACACGUUUGGGUCGUUUGCUCAGCUUGUUCUUCUGGUUCUCGGCGGCUUCUUGAUAGCUAGAGAUAACAUCAAGGCAUGGUGGAUUUGGGGCUACUGGUGCUCCCCUCUGAUGUAUGCCCAGAACGCCAUAGCGGUGAACGAGUUCCUUGGGCAUAGCUGGAGGAUGGUUGUUGAUCCGACAGACAGCAAUGACACGCUAGGCGUACAAGUCUUGAAGUCGCGCGGCAUCUUUGUCGAUCCAAACUGGUACUGGAUCGGUGUUGGUGCCUUACUUGGGUACAUCAUGCUCUUCAAUGUACUCUUCAUUGUGUUCCUCGACUUGCUUGACCCACUUGGAAAGGGCCAAAAUGUUGUUUCUGAAGAGGAACUGAUGGAGAAGCAUGUGAACCGCACCGGAGAAAAUGUAGAGUUGCUGCUUCUUGGAAACGAUUCCCAGAAUUCACCUUCCAACGGAGGAGGAGAAAUCACUGGCGCUGACACCAGGGAGAGGGGAAUGGCACUUCCAUUUACUCCCUUGUCAAUCACCUUUGACAAUAUCAGAUAUUCUGUGGACAUGCCUCAGGAAAUGAAAGACAAAGGUAUUACUGAAGACCGGCUAGUGCUCCUGAAAGGUGUUAGUGGAGCUUUCAGGCCAGGAGUUCUUACAGCAUUGAUGGGCGUCAGCGGGGCGGGAAAGACCACUCUGAUGGAUGUGUUGGCGGGACGGAAAACUGGCGGUUACAUUGAAGGAGACAUCAGCAUCUCUGGAUACCCGAAGAACCAAGACACUUUUGCCCGGAUUGCUGGUUACUGUGAGCAAAAUGAUAUCCAUUCUCCACAUGUCACCGUUUAUGAAUCCCUCGUGUACUCGGCGUGGCUCCGGUUGUCCCCUGAUGUAGACUCAGAAGCAAGACAAAUGUUUGUGGAACAAGUCAUGGAACUCGUCGAGCUGACAUCACUGAGGGGAGCAUUGGUGGGACUGCCAGGAGUGAAUGGUUUAUCCACCGAACAGCGUAAAAGGCUCACCAUUGCUGUUGAGCUUGUUGCCAACCCCUCCAUCAUAUUCAUGGAUGAACCAACUUCUGGACUGGACGCAAGGGCAGCUGCCAUCGUGAUGAGGGCGGUCAGAAACACAGUAGACACAGGAAGAACAGUUGUCUGCACCAUCCACCAGCCCAGCAUCGACAUAUUUGAAGCUUUUGAUGAGCUGUUCCUGAUGAAACGGGGAGGAGAAGAAAUUUAUGUCGGCCCCUUGGGGCACAACUCAUGCCAUCUGAUCGAUUACUUUGAGGGAAUACAAGGUGUGAAGAAAAUCAAGGAUGGAUACAACCCUGCAACCUGGAUGUUAGAAGUGACCACCCUAGCUCAGGAAGAUGCCUUGGGUGUCAACUUUGCCGAAGUAUACAUGAAUUCUGACCUAUACCGGAGGAACAAAGCUUUGAUAAGUGACCUAAGCACACCUCCACGUGGAUCGACGGACCUGUACUUCCCAAAACAGUAUGCACAGUCCUUCUUCACACAAUGCAUUGCUUGCCUGUGGAAGCAGCAUAAGUCCUAUUGGAGAAAUCCAUCAUACACUGCAACUAGAAUAUUCUUCACGACGGUUAUUGCUCUCAUCUUUGGCACCAUCUUUUUGAACCUAGGACAGAAAAUCGGCAAGAGGCAGGACCUGUUCAAUUCUUUGGGUUCCAUGUAUGCAGCAGUUAUUUUCAUUGGAAUUCAGAAUGGCCAAUGCGUUCAACCUAUUGUCGACGUCGAGCGAACAGUUUUUUACCGAGAAAAAGCUGCUGGCAUGUACUCUGCUCUACCCUAUGCUUUUGCACAGGUUUUCAUUGAGAUCCCACAUGUCUUCCUACAGACCAUUAUUUAUGGUCUGAUUGUUUACAGCUUGAUUGGCUUGGACUGGGCAUUUAUCAAAUUCUUUUGGUACAUCUUCUUCAUGUUCUUCACUUUCCUGUACUUCACAUUUUAUGGGAUGAUGGCAGUCGCCAUGACGCCAAACAGCGACAUUGCUGCCAUAGUCGCAACUGCAUUCUAUGCAGUAUGGAAUAUCUUUGCCGGUUUCCUAGUCCCCCGACCAAGGAUACCAAUAUGGUGGAGGUGGUACUCAUGGGCAUGCCCGGUGGCAUGGACACUCUACGGGCUUGUUGCCUCACAAUAUGGAGACAUUGCAGACGUUACGCUGGAGGAUGGGGAACAAGUGAACGCUUUCAUCCACAGAUUCUUUGGAUUCAGGCAUGAUUACGUAGGUUUUAUGGCUGCCGGUGUUGUAGGAUUCACUGUUCUCUUCGCUUUCGUUUUUGCCUUCUCCAUCAAAGUCUUGAACUUCCAAAGAAGAUAG